CCAAUAUACAACGUGAAUAUUUUGUUCGUAUUGUAUUAUUGACACUAACAAUUAGGAACGAAAAAUUUCCGCAACCAUGUUGCUAUCUAGUAUACAGAAACAAAAUUCGUGUACAAAUAUAUAAUAGGUAGUACAUCAAAUGCUAAAACGGUCACAACCGCUCCCCAAACUAAAAUUGCCUUUACUAUUAUAACUAUGAAAAGUAUGAAUUUCACUUCGUAAACAGUAAUGCGGGGUAGUUCAUAUUUUUUUUUUUUUUUUUUUUUUUAUCGAACAGGUGUAAUACUUGCGUCUUCCGUCCGAUGGUCGGAUUAUCUAAAACUAGACGAUGGCCGAGGUUUUGCGGGAGUGACUAACUGUCUUUACGCACGUAAUAGUAAUU